AGAGUUUGAUCAUGGCUCAGGAUUAACGUUGGUAGUAUGCCUAACACAUGCAAGUCGAGCGGAAAGUAGUAGCAAUAUUGCUUUUAGCGGCGAACGGGUGAGUAAUACUUAUCUUACUUGCCAAUUAGUGGGGGAUAACUAUGGGAAACCAUAGCUAAUACCGCAUUUGCUACUUCGGUAAUGAAAGGGGGUCGUAAGACUUUCGCUAAUUGAUAGGGAUAAGUCGUAUUAGUUAGUUGGUGGGGUAAUGGCCUACCAAGACAAUGAUGCGUAGUCAGUCUGAGAGGAUGAAUGGCCACAAGGGAACUGAGACACGGUCCCUACUCCUACGGGAGGCAGCAGUGAGGAAUUUUCGGCAAUGGGGGAAACCCUGACCGAGCAAUACUACGUGAAGGAGGAAGGUCUACGGAUUGUAAACUUCUGUUAGCACGGAAGAAGAACUGAGCGUGAGUUCAGUUUUGACGGUACGUGCAGAGAAAGCCACGACUAACUAUGUGCCAGCAGUCGCGGUAAGACAUAGGUGGCGAACGUUAUCCGGAAUUAUUGGGCGUAAAGGAUGCGUAGAUGGCGUGACAAGUUAUCAGUGGGAAAUCGGGGCUCAACCUCGUGGAAGCUGGUAAUACUAUUAUGCUUGAGUGCAGGAGGGGUUAAUGGAACUCCAUGUGGAGCGGUAAAAUGUGACGAUAUAUGGAAGAACACCAAUAAGGCGAAGGCAAUUAACUAUUCUGUUACUGACAUUGAGGCAUGAAAGCGUGGGGAGCAAAACGGAUUAGAUACCCUAGUAGUCC
rnacentral:rRNA from 1 species